rnacentral:rRNA from 1 species
GAUGAACGCUGGCGGCGUGCCUAAUACAUGCAAGUCGAGCGAACAGACGAGGAGUUUGCUCCUCUGUCGUUAGCGGCGGACGGGUGAGUAACACGUGUAUAACCUCCCUAUAAGACUGGGAUAACUUCGGGAAACCGGAGCUUAUACCGGAUAAUAUAUUGAACCGCAUGGUUCAAUAGUGAAAGACGGGUUUGCUGUCACUUAUAGAUGGAUCCGCGCCGCAUUAGCUAGUUGGUAAGUUAACGGCUUACCACGGCAACGAUGCGUAGCCGACCUGAUAGGGUGAUCGGCCACACUGGAACUGAGACACGGUCCAGACUCCUACGGGAGGCAGCAGUAGGGAAUCUUCCGCAAAGGGCGAAAGCCUGACGGAGCAACGCCGCGUGAGUGAUGAAGGUCUUCGGAUCGUAAAACUCUGUUAUUAGGGAAGAACAAAUGUGUAAGUAACUAUGCACGUCUUGACGGUACCUAAUCAGAAAGCCACGGCUAACUACGUG